CCAUCUUUACUUUGAUUUGUCGGUGUAAAAGAAAUAACGUUAUCCUAUCUGCAGUUUGGAUUUAAAAGCGCUCAAUGAGAUUAACUCGGUUACUUCCCAGUCUUUCUGCAACAUAUUCCAUGCAAAAGGUGCCAACUAAACAAAAACCUUUAUGGAACAGAAAGCAACCAAUGAUCUUGUGAAGGGAGAGAGUGACGAUCAAAACUUUUCUAUGCAGUUAAGGAGCAAAUGUAGGCGGGCAGUAGUCCAAGUAUUGCCUUAGAUAUGAAAGUAUACCAAUAAUGGAUCCUUCUUGUGGCUAAAGCAGGCCGUCCCUAGAGCUCGCAGUGAUACGUCGACACUUAGUAAUAAACAUCAAAGAAGCUGGUGAACAGUGUCAACCAUCCAAAUCGCCAUAAUCCAACACAGACACAAAAAAGUUGCAGCGGCAAGCCGCUUAUUUGCAUUAAAAGAAAGCACAGUAGCUGAAAAUUCUGCUCAGGACUCAAAGUCAAUAUAUUUGUACACCUGGACAACACUUUAUUCCCCCCAAAGCAAACUAAUGAAAUGAAAAACUCUUCAUUUGCAAACAUGAAAAGAUAAGACUAUCUGGUGAAAUACUGAUGCCAGACAAGGUUCAUAAAAACAACAGAUUAAAUGUCAAGGCCUGAUAGAAAAACUAAAAGAUUUUUUUAAGAAUGAUUCAUUACUGAAAUUAACAAUGAGUAGGAUGAAAUAAGACAAGAGUAGAAAGGUAAAAGGUAACACUGGCAAUAAUCCAGAGGCAGUAAAGUGAUGUCGCACAUUAAAAUGUAGUAUUGCACCGGAAGUUGUAACAUUAAGUUUAGCAUUCUGUGCUGCACCUCUGUGGCCUCAGUUCUAAGUCAUUAAUGUGUCGUGCUGAAGAGCAAGAACAUCUUCAGAGUGUCGUGAAGAAUUAAAGUAAGAGGCGACGUCUUGGACAGCGAAAUUCUCCACAGUGUUGGAGAGAAACUGUAGCUGGAGGCAAUAAAAUAGGAAAGAUACAAACCUAAAACAAAAACACAGAAUAGAAUAGAAUAGAUCUACGUCCUCAUUGUUAUAGAACAAUGAAUCUGAAUCAGCUGUACUGACAGUACGGUCCGUGUAUUUAUCUGGCAAUUGGACUUUCCGUUCUGAAACGGGUAUUGAAAAACAAGAGUGGUUAUUUGAUUUUCGUUUUAAAAUACAAAAAUUAAAAUUGAAAUACAAGGCGUUUUUCCUUUUCAUGAUCAAAAAGGGAUAUACGAAAUUUUAAAAAUGCUUUGAUUUUCAUUUCAUAUUUAAAAUAACAAAAAAGUAAAAUCAGUCAGACAGAAACGGAAAAAGGUCCGUUUUUUCAUUUUCUGAGACCGGAAGUGGUCAUCAGCAAGUGUAGAGCUAAACAGAGUACGGUGCAUAGACUGGAUAUAUUUAUUUUCGUUAGUUUUUAUGGUCAAAAUGAGAGAUCAGGUGGCCGAUCUUAAAAUAAAUCAAUACUGAAUUUUUCUAGCGUGUUAAAGUUUUGCGAAGCCAGGGGGCGGGACUACUUGAUUGACAGUCAGGGCUGGAAUGAUUGACAGGUCCUAUGGAGGAGGCAGCAGAGACUCUGCUCUCCUCGUUUGGAUUAAUUCUGAUAUAAUAACUGUUGGUUUAUUUAUCGGUGGAGCAGCAGAACGUUUUCCACAGACAGUUUUCCUGCCCGUUGGCUUGUUUUAACCAGUUUUCUACCUUCAGCUGAUUCUACCAGCAGACACUGAAAGGACUCUGAUAGUUCGGUAAGUUAAUGUUUAUUUUUGUAUCGGUGCCGCUUUUAAUGCACUUUAUAUGCAGCUUUAGUGUCAGAUGUAAUGUGUGUCAUGCAGUCCAGAUGUUGGUGGAGUUUAUUUCUGUGUGUGUUGACCACAGAAGAGAGUUAGCAUCUGGUAAAUAUUAGUUUUGAUUUUAGCGAUGCUAACCGAGCUAGCUGCUCAGUUGUAGCCUGAUUAAAGCUAACGUAGCAUUAAGCUAACGAUGUUUGUGUUGUGUCAUGUAAACAGCUGAAGUGUGUUGUGUUACUGUAAUGUGGUACAUUUAGUUAAUAAAACUGUUCAUGGAGACACUGGUUCACAUUAAUGUAACGUUUAGAAAACCUAAAUGUGAUUAAAACAGUGAGAUUAAGGUUCUGUCUUGUCAGUAGUCCUGAAUAUCUGCUGAGCAAUUAAAUGUUCAUCAGUGAUUCAUCUUUAGUGUGAAACUUUUGCUUUACAGCUAUAUUUUUUAAAAAUGUAGGUCAUUUUAAGGUAAGACAUUAAAGGAUGGUUUUCUUAGGUAAAUGAAUUUAAAGUUUAAUUGAAAUCUUUCAGUCAAUGUUGUGUUUCUUUCAAUUUGAAAUAUUUUGAUUUAAUUAAUACAGCUCAGUCAGUUACAUUUUAUAUUAUUAAGAAUUCUUAUUCAGUUUAACACUAGAUGACAUAUCAGUUCAUUGAAUAUUUCAGAGCCAUUUUUUUCUUUUCAAUUAUCUGUAUUUAAAGUGAUAUUAUUAAAAUAUAUUUGCAAUGAAACAGCAGCAACAUAAGAAACGACCAAAUAUACAAAGGAAGUGCAGCUAUUUUAAUAUUUUAAAAAGUAAUCUAUCAGUUAGAACAUGGUUAAAGUGCAGCUAAAGUUAAGUUAAAGUUAGCAAAAGUACGGAUAAGCAACGUUUCCUUUUACUUCCAGAAAAAUAAAAGCCUCAUAUUUGCUAUUUAUUAAAAAAUCACUAAAAGCAACACUUCCACCAAGUUUGUUUUAGUUUGUUGGUAUUUAUCAGUGGAGCAGCAGCAUAUUUUCCACAGACAGUUUUACUGUCCGUUGUUGUGUUUUAAUCAGUUUUCAGUUCAGUAAUUCAGUCCUUCGGCUGAUUGGACAACAGACACUGAAGGACUCUGACAGCUGGUCGGUAAUAAACGAUAAUUUACUGAUCGGUGCUGGUUUUAAUGAACUUUAUGUUCAACUUCAGAGUCAGAUAUAAUGUGAGCAGUGAACCCCAGGAGUUGGUGGAGUUUAUUUGUGUGUGUUGACCAGAGAAGAGCGUUAGCAUCCAGUGAAUAUUAGCUUUAAUGAGAAUUAGCGAUGCUAACCGAGCUAGCUGACCAGUCCUGAUUAGCAGCUAAAUGUAGCAUCAAGCUAACGAUGUUUGUGUUGUUUCCUGUCAGCAGCUGAAGUGUGUUGUGUUCCUGUAAUGUGGUUCAUUAAGUUCAUAAAACUGGGGCUGGUUGACGUUAAUGUAACGUUCAGGAAACUUAAAUGUGAUUAAAACAGUAACAUUAAUGUUCUAGUUGUCAGUAAUCAGCUUUAAUUUGACACUAAAACAGACUCUGAUAGUUUUAAAUGACAUCAGUUUCACGAAUUUGUUGAAAAUUGUCUCAUUUGUUGUUGUGAUGUUGCUGCUGAUUCAUUAAAACCAGAUGAUCCGUGUUGAAGAUACGUUUAGUUCUAGUAUCAGAAGUACAAGAAGGAAUAUGGAAGUUUAGUUCUGCUACAUCAAAGAUUUCAGGAAUAAAAUAGCAAAAUGAGUCUUUAUGCCUCAAACUUUAUUCUACAAUAAUGAAAUAAUGAAAUAAUCACAGAUAAUAAAAAUAUAAAUAGCAGAGAAAACCUGAGAGAAUAAUUUCCUGAAAAGUCUGUGAAGGAAAAGCAGCUUUUUAUCCUGAAAGAUCAGAAUCAGCUCCAACAUCUGCAUCUGACAGCAUCAAGUCAACCAGAAAGAAACGAAAAAAGAAAAUGACUUCUUUCUGAUCACAUCUGUUCCGCUGCUCACAGGCUGCUGCUGCUCACAUUCUUCACAUUUAUUGUCCACUUUUAAAAGUCCAGCAGACAGGUGCUCUGCUUUGGAGUGUGACGAUGCCGUCGGUGAUGUGGAGAGUGAAGUUUCCGUUUCUCCCACAGCGUGCUUUAGGACAGCUGGGUCGGACUUGAUGUUUGAAAUACUGACCGACAGCUCAGAUUUAACUGUCUGUAGCUCCAUUUUGAUGGAUGUUAAAUUUUCACUCAAAGCCGCCGGGAGCUGGGUCUUUAAAAUAACCGCGGUCUCGUUACAGAGUGAAAGUAGAAGUUCCUCCUGAAGAUCAGAGAUUGCAGCAUCUGAGGGCCUCUUCAAAAGAAGACAUAGUUGAUGAAGGCGUUCUGGAGCAGGACCAGAAAGACCACGACCAAGCAGCCUUGAGAUCUUAGACAGCGUCUCCCUCAGGUCCCUCUCUAUCUCCCCACACAUCCACCAACCACUGGAACACAUCUCCAAAGUUCUGCUGGGCCAGCUCAGCUUCCCCUCAGAAGAAGUGCUGCCACCUGCCAGAUGAAGGAGCCUUUUGAGAGGCAGCUGGCAUCGUGAUUGGACUGUACUUUGGUCUGUUCCAAUCCAGCUUCAGCUCCAGAGACGGCAGGCGGGACGAGUCAACGGAGGCCUGGUGGACGAAGGCAUGCAGCUGAGUACAAUACAGAAAACAACAGAGGAGGAGUGCAGCAGCCAGAACAACCAGAGUAGCAUCGUAUGUCUCUUAGAAAACAUCAUAGUAGAGCCUUUGGUAUGAAAAAACACCGUCAUAUACAUCGUAUAUUGUACAAAUAACAAGUCAAAGGAAAGAGACAUACAUUGUAGAAUUGUAGUAAUUGUGGGCUGACUGAUUUACUGAUUAUCAGUAUUUUAUUUUUGACUGAUUUAUGGUAAUAAAUACAUUUAAAAAUGGC